UCCCUGGUGGUCCAGUGGUUAGGACCCUGCACUUUCACUGCUGAGGGCCUGGGUUCGAUCCCCAGUCGGGGAA